rnacentral:rRNA from 1 species
AUUGAACGCUGGCGGAAUGCUUUACACAUGCAAGUCGAACGAUGAAGUCUAGCUUGCUAGACGGAAUAGUGGCGAACGGGUGAGUAAUAUAUCGGAACAUAUCCAAUAAUGGGGGAUAACUAGUCGAAAGAAUGGCCAAUACCGCAUCCGUCCUACGGGAGCAAGCUGGGGAUCGUCAGACCUGGCGUUAAUGGAGCGGCCGAUAUCUGAUUAGCUCGUUGGUGAGGUAAAGGCUCACCAAGGCGACGAGCAGUCGCUGGUCUGAGAGGACGACCAGCCACACUGGAACUGAGACACGGUCCAGACUCCUACGGGAGGCAGCAGUGGGGAAUUUUGGACAAUGGGCGAAAGCCUGAUCCAGCCAUUCCGCGUGAGUGAAGAAGGCCUUCGGGUUGUAAAGCUCUUUCGCAAGAGAAGAACACCUACUUAAUAACACUAAGUGAGGUUGACGGUACCUUGAUAAGAAGCACCGGCUAACUACGUGCCAGCCGCCGCGGUAA